GGUGGAUUAGUGGCGAACGGGUGAGUAACACGUGGGCAAUCUGCCCUUCACUCUGGGACAAGCCCUGGAAACGGGGUCUAAUACCGGAUAACACUCUGUCCCGCAUGGGACGGGGUUAAAAGCUCCGGCGGUGAAGGAUGAGCCCGCGGCCUAUCAGCUUGUUGGUGGGGUAAUGGCCUACCAAGGCGACGACGGGUAGCCGGCCUGAGAGGGCGACCGGCCACACUGGGACUGAGACACGGCCCAGACUCCUACGGGAGGCAGCAGUGGGGAAUAUUGCACAAUGGGCGAAAGCCUGAUGCAGCGACGCCGCGUGAGGGAUGACGGCCUUCGGGUUGUAAACCUCUUUCAGCAGGGAAGAAGCGAAAGUGACGGUACCUGCAGAAGAAGCGCCGGCUAACUACGUGCCAGCAGCCGCGGUAAUACGUAGGGCGCAAGCGUUGUCCGGAAUUAUUGGGCGUAAAGAGCUCGUAGGCGGCUUGUCACGUCGGAUGUGAAAGCCCGGGGCUUAACCCCGGGUCUGCAUUCGAUACGGGCUAGCUAGAGUGUGGUAGGGGAGAUCGGAAUUCCUGGUGUAGCGGUGAAAUGCGCAGAUAUCAG
rnacentral:rRNA from 1 species